rnacentral:lncRNA from 1 species
AUGAACUGUGUGACUGAAUCCUGGAGGGAGUUCAGGAGAAUUAUUGCUGACCACUUGUUCCCCCUUUCCCAGCAACAUUUGACUGCCAAUUUCAUGCUGUUUACCCCAGCUUGGAACAUAGGUGAGAACAAAGAAAAAUGCAUAGAUGAAAUUACUCCUGAAGUAAGUCCUGCAAGAAUUCAGAACUCAGAGGUAUCAGAACCAAAAAUCAAAAAUGGCAACCACUGAAGAGGGGUUGCCCCUGACCUACUCAGGUUUUCUAAUUGUAAAAAAUGUUGAUUCAAAAUAUUUAUUAUUUUUAAAAUAUUUAUUUAAAAAUGCUUUAGGAGAGACAUACAUACAUACAUAUUUUUACAUUUAACAUGAUCUUUAGAAGCAAUGACCACCUGGCUAAGUCCUCUG